CCCUUUCUUUUUUCCUCCCUACAUGGGGAGAAAAAACAUCUGUAAAAGGUAAUUCCUUUGAGAGGUUUGAAACCCCUGGCACCUUUCUUAUUCCACCCUUCAAGAUAAGGAUAUAACAAACACACUCUGAGAGAGAUCCUCCGAAGCUGCUGAAUAAAAUUGUAUACCUGUUCUCAAACCACGCAGAGGUCAAAUGAAUG